GAUCCCCAGGUCAAAGGCGCGGUUAGGGGGAUCCCCACGCCGCCUGCACCCCCUUCUGGGCGGCUGUGGCAGGAGAAGGGGGAGGCGAGGCUACCGAGAGCUGACCAUGGACAGCUCCAGCGCCGGCCUGUUUCCAGGGCGAGCCGGCCUGGACGGAGGAACGCUGCCGGCUGUUCCAGCCAGAAGAUCCCAGGCGGUCGUGGCCCCUUUAACAGAAGACUGACGGACGGCGCUGAGUGGCCAAUGAGAAUUAGCGUCCGUGCCGGCCGGUGACCAGGCCCCGCCUCUGCAUCGAGAGGGCAAGGGCGGCUCCCGGAAGGAUGUGCUCGGUUGGAGGUGAGGCGAGUGGCCGACGGGUGGUGAGUGCCUGGUACUCCGCACCCCUGCGCCCGUCUGGGGAAUUGCACGCGCCCCGCUACCGACUCCCUCUCAGACGGUGGCACGGCCCGCUGGGCUCCCCCAGCGGAUAGUUCGCUCCGCCACGCCUACAGAGGCAGAGCUCCUGCUGCGUUUCAAGACUCCCGCGCCCUACCGGCAGCGGGAGACCCUACCAAACCCUCCU